UAGCAAUGGACAUAUCUGUUUAGGUAUUGCCUUUUCCUUCUUUAUUUACCUUGCUUAUUUCUAUUUCAACACUAAUAUGUCUAUGAAAUUACUAUAAUUUGAGAGCCCUUACUUCAAUUAUGGCAUUGUGCUUCGCAUUGAAAUGUUGGAAUUUUUAUGCUUAUAGAGUUUAUGAAUGUCCGUUGUUUAUUUGCUUUCUAUCCAUUUUUGCACUACUGAUUGUAACUGCUUAGUUUGUGUUAAACACUUUUUAUAUCCCUUACACUUGAUGAAAAUGUGAUUAUAGUAUCCUCUUCAAAAUAGUUUGAUAAGGGAAGGCAGAGAAUGUUGGCUAGGAACCCUGCGGGCAAAAAAGUCCUCUAUUUAGGAACUAGUGUUCUUCAUCAAUGGGAAGUCUAGGUUUGAUCAUGUGUGGUGCUUCUGCUUGGGAUGAUAUCAUUUGCUAACUUUUAAACUUGUGUUUUUUCAGUAUUUAUGAACAUUGCCCCUUCAUAUAAUUGUGUCUUUCAUGGCAUUUAUACAACUAGUAUGCUUGCAUUUGAUUUUUGAUGUAAAUUUACAUGUACUUCACUUUGGCAGUUUGAGAAAGAUAUAUUUUAGCUCUUCUAUUCCUAGGGAAACCUUGUUUAGAGUGAAAAGUACUAUGAAAAGGCAGAUGAUUUUCUUAAAACUAUGUUAAACUUGAAUUCUUGAUUACAGUCCACUUGCAAUGCGUGUUCAUGGUAUGCCAGUGGUUCGUAUUCAGUGAUUAUGUUCCAAAGCUAUAAGGGAUUCUUUGAAGUUUGCUUCCUCAUAAACUUUAAGAUUAUUGUAUCAUUACAGAAAACAGGGAAUGAUUUAUGCUCAAGUGUACUGUUUUUUGUAUGAAAUUUGAGCUGAAUGAUUGAGAUUUGUAAGUUUAUGGAUAUAAGCAAUGCAAGUUCUGAUUAAUUGUGUUGAGCUGUAUUCCCUGCGCUUCAAUAUUUUUUUAUGGCGGCUAUUUAAUGUGAAUCGGGACUGUAUUUUUUGAAGAGCCUUAUCAAUUUUUACAUGGUAGUUGAUUGCCUUCGAGUUCUUCAUCAACAUGAUUAGAUGAUCUUCUUGUGUAAUUUAUUACUGGUUAGGCUGUGUGAUAUUGUUGCUUUAGCCUUCUUUAUUCUUUGUUCACGUCCCUUGUGCCA
rnacentral:misc_RNA from 1 species